rnacentral:rRNA from 1 species
UACGUAGGGUGCAAGCGUUAAUCGGAAUUACUGGGCGUAAAGCGUGCGCAGGCGGUUAUGUAAGGCAGAUGUGAAAUGCCCGGGCUUAACCUGGGAACUGCAUUUGGGACUGCAUGGCUAGAGUUUGGCAGAGGGGGGUAGAAUUCCACGUGUAGCAGUGAAAUGCGUAGAUAUGUGGAGGAACACCGAUGGCGAAGGCAGCCCCCUGGGUCAAGACUGACGCUCAUGCACGAAAGCGUGGGGAGCAAACAGG